rnacentral:rRNA from 1 species
GGAUGCGAUCAUACCAGCACUAAAGCACCGGAUCCCAUCAGAACUCCGAUGUUAAGCGUGCUUGGGCGAGAGUAGUACUGGGAUGGGUGACCUCCUGGGAAGUCCUCGUGUUGCGUUCC